UACGGAGGGGGCUAGCGUUGUUCGGAAUUACUGGGCGUAAAGCGCACGUAGGCGGCUUUGUAAGUUAGAGGUGAAAGCCCGGGGCUCAACUCCGGAAUUGCCUUUAAGACUGCAUCGCUAGAAUUGUGGAGAGGUGAGUGGAAUUCCGAGUGUAGAGGUGAAAUUCGUAGAUAUUCGGAAGAACACCAGUGGCGAAGGCGACUCACUGGACACAUAUUGACGCUGAGGUGGCGAAAGCGUGGGGAGCAACAGGAUU
rnacentral:rRNA from 1 species